rnacentral:rRNA from 1 species
AUGGAAGGUAUGGCCUUGGCUAUCCAACACUCGGAUCUCCCAGUCAUCGUCCAGUCAGAUUCUUCUGAAGCCUUAGCUAGCCUCUCGAGCAAUGCUUCAACUCGCUCGGCUUAUGGUCACUUGGUCCUAGAGAUUAAGGAGUUGAUGAGUAUUAGGGAGUUUGUACCUCUGAAGAUCUGUCGCUCUCAGAAUAGAGUUGCCAAUUAUAGUCGCUCCGAGCGAGCUACAGCGGUGUGGUUGCGUUCGGUUCCACCUUGUAUUGAGGGUUUGUGGCCUCUCGACUGUAACACUAUGACAUUUUAA